rnacentral:misc_RNA from 1 species
UCUUAGGGAUGUUUUUCGUGAAUUCAGGAAUGGAUUUUUGAAAAAGAUAUAAGAGAGUAUUUCUCCUUUAAGAAUUGCUUUUAUUUAAAAGAAUGUGCUUCUCUAUGAGAGAGUGGCUAAUCUUGAAGAGUGCCGGGGAAGGUUUUCCGGUUUAUCCCGGAGGGCUUGUAGCUCAGUUGGUUAGAGCGCGCGCUUGAUAAGCGUGAGGUCGGAGGUUCAAGUCCUCCCAGGCCCACCAAUUUAGGUUUAUUUAACCCGCUGUUGAUGUUCUCUCCUUCAUGAGAAAAAGAUUUAAGGAGUGGAAACAACUUGUGGGAACCCCAAAUGCUCAAUAAGGCUUAAGACUCUUUAUAAAAUUCUCAGAGUUUCAUAAAAUUUUCAGAGUUUCAUAAAAUUUUUAGAGUUUCAUGGAGUUUUUAGAGUUUGUGUUCUCAGAGUUUGUCUUUUGAGAUUAUUGGCGAAAUCAUAGAGCUAUCAAGAGAGUUCAAGAGAGUUGAUGAAUGUUAAUUUGGGGUUUAGGUUAGCGCUUUCUUUUAGGGGCCGUAGCUCAGCUGGGAGAGCACCUGCUUUGCAAGCAGGGGG